rnacentral:rRNA from 1 species
CCUAGUUUGUUCUAAGAGUGACGGGCAAUUUGUGCAUAUUUAGCUAUAUUUUUUCUUGAAAAAUAUUGAGUUUUUCUAAUACUUCUAAGUCCUUUUUAUUUAACUUAAUUAUUAUUUCCAUGUUUUUAUUAUUAUUGUAGUAGCCCACAUCUCUCUUUAAUGUAUCCUUUAUAUUGAUUUGUUUUUUUACUUUUAGUUUUCUAAUUUUAAUUUAAUUAUUAAUUGUGACAAAAAUAUAAAAAGUUAUAAUUAAAGUUCUUUUUAAUCGUGGGGUAUCUAUAAUGAAGCAGGAUCCCCUAGUUUUGCUAAAUACUGCCAUUCUAUAUUGGUUUCUUUUAUUUAAAUACUUUCUUUUUUUACUUAGAA